CAACCCUCGAACCCCUCCGGGGGGUCGGCGUUGGGGAUCGGCCCCUCACCGGGCCGCCCCCGAAAUACAGUGGCGGUCUCGCCGCAGCCUCUCCUGCGCAGUAGUUUGCACACUCGCACCGGGAGCGCGGCGCGGCCACAGCCGUAAAACACCCCAAACUCUGAAA
rnacentral:misc_RNA from 1 species